rnacentral:lncRNA from 1 species
UUUUUUCUUAACUGAACAGGAAAACUUAUGAAAAUCAACAAUAAAUCUGAAUUUUAAUUUUCAUUCAACAGCUGAAAAACCAUGUCUGUUGACCACAUUGGACUAUUGCCUAGUUAAAAUCCAUAAAAUUCUCUAUAAACCAAUGAAAAGAAAGUAGUCUGGCAAUAAUUUCCAACUUUUUAAAUCCUAAUUUUUAGUUACAAAGAAAAAGGAUAGAACGAGGCUUUUCAAGGAAUUCUUGCUCAUCCCUUCAAUAAUUUGGUAGGCAACACAGUCCUAGAAUUCAGCUUCCUUUUUGGUUUUAUUACUAUUAAAUAGAUACUUUCAUAUAAAUGGAAACAUUUUUCCUCAAAACAUCAAUUCAAAACAUACUCCUUAUAUUAAUGGCUAUGGCACCACAUUUUUGGUAAAUUCCCUAUGUGUAACUUUUUCCUGUUGGUAUGUGAUUUUUUUCAUUUAAUAUGACUAUCUGCUGGUGUUGGGGGCAAUAGGUUUGUGAAUAUUCUGUGGAUAUGUCCAUGCAUAGGUGUAUA